UACGUAGGGGGCAAGCGUUGUCCGGAUUUAUUGGGCGUAAAGAGCGUGUAGGCGGCUAGGUAGGUCCGUUGUGAAAACUCGAGGCUCAACCUCGAGACGCCGGUGGAAACCAUCUAGCUAGAGUCCGGAAGAGGAGAGUGGAAUUCCUGGUGUAGCGGUGAAAUGCGCAGAUAUCAGGAAGAACACCCGUGGCGAAGGCGGCUCUCUGGGACGUGACUGACGCUGAGGCGCGAAAGCGUGGGGAGCAAACAGG
rnacentral:rRNA from 1 species